rnacentral:rRNA from 1 species
CAGUCGCCGCGGUAAUGCGUAGGGUGCAAGCGUUAAUCGGAAUUACUGGGCGUAAAGCGUGCGCAGGUGGUUGUGUAAGACAGGUGUGAAAUCCCCGGGCUUAACCUGGGAACUGCGCUUGUGACUGCACAGCUAGAGUAUGGCAGAGGGGGGUGGAAUUCCACGUGUAGCAGUGAAAUGCGUAGAGAUGUGGAGGAACACCGAUGGCGAAGGCAGCCCCCUGGGCCAAUACUGACGCUCAUGCACGAAAGCGUGGGGAGCAAACAGGAUUAGAUACCCCCGUAGUCCCUGUCUCUUAUAC